ensembl:snRNA U6 U6 spliceosomal RNA
CUACUCACUUCAGCAGCAAAUAUACUAAAAUUGUGAUGAUACAGAGAAGAUUACCAUGGCCCCUACACAAAGAUGACACACAAAUUCAUGAAGAUUCUAUAUUUUU